GACGAACCGUGCGAACGUUGUUCGGAAUCACUGGGCUUAAAGGGCGCGUAGGCGGGCCAUAAAGUCAAGGGUGAAAUCCUCCAGCUUAACUGGAGAACUGCCUUUGAUACUGAUGGUCUCGAGUAAGGUAGGGGCAUGCGGAACUGAUGGUGGAGCGGUGAAAUGUGUUGAUAUCAUCAGGAACUCCGGUGGCGAAGGCGGCAUGCUGGACCUUCACUGACGCUGAGGCGCGAAAGCUAGGGGAGCGAACGGG
rnacentral:rRNA from 1 species